rnacentral:misc_RNA from 1 species
GAUGAAGAACGCAGCGAAAUGCGAUAAGUAAUGUGAAUUGCAGAAUUCAGUGAAUCAUCGAAUCUUUGAACGCACAUUGCGCCCCCCAGUAUUCUGGCGGGCAUGCCUGUUCGAGCGUCAUUUCAACCAUCAAGCCCUGCUUGUGUUGGGGUCCUGCGGCUGCCCGCAGGCCCUGAAAACCAGUGGCGGGCUCGCUAGUCACACCGAGCGCAGUAGCACAUCUCGCUCAGGGCGUGCGGCGGGCUCCAGCCGUUAAAGCACCCACCUUUCGCAAGGUUGGCCUCGGAUCAGGUAGGAAUACCCGCUGAACUUAAGCAUAUCAAUAAGCGGAGGA